AUUGAACGCUGGCGGCAGGCCUAACACAUGCAAGUCGAGCGAGCGGCGGACGGGUGUGUAAUGUAUGGUGACUGCCCGAUAGUGUGGGAUAACUACUGGAAACUGUAGCUAAUACCGCAUACUAUCUGCUACCCCAUAUGGGAUUAGCUAGUAGGUGAGGUAAUGGCUCACCUAGGCGACGAUCCCUAGCUGGUCUGAGAGGAUGAUCAGCGAAGCGGGGAAUGAGGAAAGGCCCAAGAUCUUGCGGAGGCAGCAGUGGAGAAGAUUGAGGAAUGGGCGAUAGCCAGAUGCAGGCAUGGCGGGUGUAUGAGGAGGGCAAUAGGGUUGUAAAGUACUUUCGAUCGGGAGAGGUUACCGACAGAAGAAGAACCGGCUAACUCCGUGCCAGCAGCCGCGGUAAUAC
rnacentral:rRNA from 1 species